UUUGGCUACCUAAAACGCGUUUACAUUUGUAUAAAUAGCUUUCCUUAGGGGAAUGAAGGAGAGAAACUUUAUAUCUCUAUUAAUGAAAAUGGUUCCCUUCUUUGUAUUGCUAUUGUUAUCGUCACAAUUAGUCCUUGCCAAUGUUUCAGAGGAUCCAAUACAGAAGGAUGCAGGGAAGAUGGUCAUCCGUAGGUCGCAUCUGCGUAUGAGGAUGGCUAUGGCAAAUACAGCACCAAGCGAAGACCCUCAGCACCCUGGAACGGGAAAUUAGCUACAGUGACAUGUGUCGCUGUUGUAUUGGUUAAAAGUGCCACAUCAACAAGCUUGUCAGAAGGAAGAAUGGUUUAUUAAGCAGUUAGGCGAUCUCUUGGAGAAGAAUGAUUGGUAUCUUUAUUAUUAUUAUCAAUAUUAAAUAUAUA